UAACCAUAACUGGGUGCAACCUAGAAUC
rnacentral:piRNA from 1 species